rnacentral:rRNA from 1 species
CCUACGGGCGACUGCAGUAGGGAAUCUUCCACAAUGGGCGCAAGCCUGAUGGAGCAACACCGCGUGAGUGAAGAAGGGUUUCUGCUCGUAAAGCUCUGUUGUUGGAGAAGAACGUGCGUGAGCGUGACUGUUCACGCCGUGACGUUAUCCAACCAGAACGUCACGGCUAACUACGUGCCCGCCGCCGUGGGAAUACGUAGGUGGCCAGCGUUGUCCGGUUUUUUUUGGGUGAAAGGGAGCGCGGGGUGUCGCUUAGAUCUGAUGGGAAAGCCUUCGGCUUAACCGAAGAAUUGCAUCGGAAACCGGGCGACUAGAGUGCAGAAGAGGACAGUGGAACGACAUAUGUAGCGGUGGAAUGCUUAGAUAUAAGGAAGAACACCAGUGGCGAAGGCAGCUUUCCAGACUGCUACUGACGCUGAAGCUCGAAAGCAUGGGUAGCGAACAGGAUUAGAUACCCUUGUAGUC